UGCCAGCCGCCGCGGUAACACGGGGGGCGCAAGCGUUAUUCGGAAUUAUUGGGCGUAAAGGGCGCGCAGGCGGUCUUGUCCGUCAGGUGUGAAAGCUCGGGGCUCAACCCCGGAAGUGCAUUUGAAACUACUGAUCUAGAAUCUCGGAGAGGGAAGGGGAAUUUCAUGUGUAGGGGUAAAAUCCGUAGAGAUAUGAAGGAACACCAGAGGCGAAGGCGCCUUCCUGGACGAGUAUUGACGCUGAGGCGCGAAAGCGUGGGGAGCAAACAGGAUUAGAUA
rnacentral:rRNA from 1 species